GACUUCUAACGUGCAGUCCAACGUGACGGGGACCCUGCCUGAGACAUAUGCAGCCUCACAGGGCCAAAGCCAACUCACAAUGAGGUGACGGACACGGUGCCAUCCGGCUAACCUUUGGGAGCAGAUGAGCAUUUGAGGUAUCCCGGAAGAUGACAGCACAUUGUCCAACUCCGGUCAGAGCCGGUGACCCGAGGACCUGCCUCAGUGACAGUGAGUAGAGGGAUCUUUGGGGCUGGGGCCACGUGCCACACUACUCAGAUAUUGUGUAUGGUUUUCUUUCUCGUAGUUGACUCCGAGUACUCUCAGGAUGGCAGGAACCUCUGAGCCAGCCCAGGUGCCCCUCCUUUGCAUCAGAGACGGAUUUGCAUCCCCGGCUCUCA